rnacentral:misc_RNA from 1 species
CCGGCGUACUUCAAGCCACGCCGUUAGACCCUGAGACCACCCAGGCGUUUAAAAACACCCCGAGGAUCUCGUGGACUUAUGAAGAGUAUGUGGACCGGCGCUCGUGCUGCUCGUGCGUUUGUGUAUGGUGCCUGUCCUAGCCUUUCCAAGAUUACAAGAAGUUCACGAGGCAACCACUGGACGGUGCGCAUGUGCGUUAGAGGUGCAGACGGGGCGGGGGCGGCCACGUCACUUACCAACCCUGCAUCAGAAAUGAGUAAACGGAAGAUUUACGUGCUUUCGAGGGUACCUAACCUCGGGCAUCAGCUCACCGAUGCACUGAAAGACGACGCUUCAGUGGUCGAAAUAACGGCGAAGUUUACCACCCACGGUGACGAACCAACGAUCAAACCGGAGGUUGUCCAGAUGCUCCAGAAUGCGGAGAUUCUGAUCACCGAUACGGACAUCUUGAAAGAUGUCCUCUACGAGCUACCGAACAUGAAGUGGGUCCAACUGACAUGGGCAGGUGUGGACAGACUCCUUCCUCAUUUGGAUCGCAGUAAGCCACCACCCACAUAUACCAUAACCCGUGCCUUCUGCUUUGGAAUACUUAUGGCGGAAUAUGUUGUUGCUGGAAUCAUCAACAUCGAGAGGGGCCUUUACAGCUACUACGAUCUUCAGAAAAAGAAAGAGUGGCUUGAUCACGGAUCAUUGCAAUUCCGGACGCUGUCUGACCUGACUGUGGGCAUUUUGGGAGCUGGAGUCAUUGGACAAGAAAUUGCGAGCACGUUGAAGCGGUUUGGCACGGCAGUUCAUGGACUUGCACGAAGGAGGAGAAGUUUGGAGGAACUGACACGGUCGUCAUUUGAUAUGAUUCAUAGUGAACUCUCAGAGUUGCUUAAGAACAGUGACUACAUUGUGAAUGCCCUUCCAAGCACACCAAACACCACUGGUAUGCUGAAUGAUGAGGUACUCAAAAAUUGCCAAAAGAAGCCGGUAUUGAUAAAUAUUGGUCGCGGAACCAUCAUCAGUGAAGAAAGCAUCAUUGAAGCCUUGAAGUGGUCUCCAUGACGGUUCCAAACUGAUCCAGCUGCCAGCUGCACCUCGGCUGACGAUGCGCUGGUGGUCGCCCCAGCAAUCGCAGGCACCCAAUGAGGUCCCGGCCUGAGAUUCCUGGCCCAAACAGCAUCUCCUGGCCGAGCAAUGGUUGGAUUUCUGGAGCAAUUCUGGACGUAUUCCCUAAAGAGCCGCUACCAGUUGACAGCCCCCUUUGGUCGCAGCCAAAUGUGUUCAUCACACCACACAUGUCUGGCCCAUCACGACCACAUGAG